UCCUCAUGACUGCAUCUAAAACUAGACCCC
rnacentral:piRNA from 1 species